UAACACCGGCAGCCCGAGUGGUGAUCACUAUUAUUGGGUCUAAAGGGUCCGUAGCCGGUUUAAUCAGUCUUCUGGGAAAUCUAAUCGCUUAACUAUUAGGCUUCCAGGGGAUACUGUUAGACUUGGGACCGGGAGAGGUAGGAGGUACUGCAGGGGUAGGAGUGAAAUCUUGUAAUCCCUGUGAGACCACCAGUGGCGAAGGCGUCUUACCAGAACGGGUCCGACGGUGAGGGACGAAAGCUGGGGGCACGAACCGGAUUAGAUACCCGGGUAGUCCCAGCUGUAAACGAUGCUCGUUAGGUGUCAGGAACGGUGCGACUGUUUCUGGUGCCGAAGGGAAGCCGUGAAACGAGCCACCUGGGAAGUACGGCCGCAAGGCUGAAACUUAAAGGAAUUGGCGGGGGAGCACUACAACGGGUGGAGCCUGCGGUUUAAUUGGACUCAACGCCGGAAAACUCACCGGGGGCGACAGCAAUAUGUAGGUCAGGUUAAAGGUCUUACCUGAAUCGCUGAGAGGAGGUGCAUGGCCGUCGUCAGUUCGUACUGUGAAGCAUCCUGUUAAGUCAGGCAACGAGCAAGACCCGUGCCCACUGUUACCAGCAUAUCCUUUAUGGAUGAUGGGGACUCUGUGGGGACCGCUGCUGCUAAAGCAGAGGAAGGUGCGGGCUACGGUAGGUCAGUAUGCCCCGAAUCUCCCGGGCUACACGCGGGCUACAAUGGUUGGGACAAUGGGUAUCUACUCCGAAAGGAGUUGGCAAUCUCUUAAACCCAAUCGUAGUUCGAAUUGAGGGCUGUAACUCGCCACUCAUGAAGCA
rnacentral:rRNA from 1 species